AGAGAGAGAGAGAGAGAGAGAGAGAGAGAGAGAGAGAGAGAGAGAGAGAGAGAGAGAGAGAGAGAGAGAGAGAGAGAGAGAGAGAGAGAGAGAGAGAGAGAGAGAGAGAGACGUUAAGAUAAGCAAUUUCCGAGGAACAAUGAAACACGUUAUUUACAAAAGGUCACACAAUUGAAUACUUGUUUGUUGGGAUGUCGUAAAUAAAGCAAUGGCAGUACAAAAAAACUUUAAUACACUCAAUAAAACUACCUGGAUAUUGUUUAGAGUGGCGCUUCAAUAAAUGGCUGCGCACAAUAGAGAAACAGAAUAAUACUAAUAAAAAUUGUAUAUAUCA